GCACAAACAGAGUACUCAAACACACACACAGAGAUUUAUGUGAUUCAGCUUAUAGUUUAUGUCCACAGGCAUCAGAGAAGGAGAAAUCCACUAUAAAACAAUAGCAAGGAUUACAGUUGCAGUUUAGAUAUUUUCUCACAAACCCUAGCUUGAUAUUCCUUGAGCCAUUGAUCUUUUCUCCGGUGGCUUCUGGUUGAAGGUCUGGUGCUUGACAGAAUUUGAAACGUCUGUGGAAGAAGAGUUUGAAGGUUGAAGAUGAUGGCUUAUUGGUGGGAUGGGUGACACGUGGAGAAGGAAGGUUGGGAGAAGUGGAAACUGGAAAGGUUGGAGGGGAAGCGUUUUUGGUAACUGGAAAGUUACUCUUGCAGGUUUCGAUUGUAGAGGAUUCACCAUUUUACUGAACCAGGCCGGGUUGAUGGACCAAGCAAGAGGAGAUCACGUGAGGCUUUAAAUUGCCAGGCGAGUCGAGAACCCGAUUUUUUGAGUAGGCCAUUAGAGGACGAUAAUUUUCGUCCAUUGUCUGCUCCAGCCAUUUUUUUCAGAGAACGUCGAUUUGAAGAGGGAUUUUUUACAGAGUUGCCCGAGGGCUGAUUCUCAAGGGUUCCAUCACACUUGAUCAGAAGCGAUUUGGCUUCACCCCAAGGGUGGACGAUGGGUGAGGAAUAGCACGACUAAGUAGCUGAGGGCGAAAAAGGUACCCGGAGAUUGAGGCAUCUUCAGAAAAGAUUGACUCACAAGCACUCUUAGUGACUAUUGAAAUCGGCAUUUCACAAGGAAGGGCUACUGGCAGAACUAGAUCUGUAUCUCCUGAGAAAGGUUCUCACAGUGUCUUAGACAAGGUAAAGGAGGGAAGUGAAAACACUUCAGAUGUGCAGUUUCGUUAGUUAAAGAGGUGGUGGACCAACAUCCUAAGCUUGGUAGUAAGGGGGACGUGGAAGAUCGUUUGGAGAGAACUGAGGUGGGUGAAAAUGUUUAGGAAAGCGAUAAAAGAAAAAAACUCUGACUUCAAUGUUUUAAAGAGUAGCCUCUGUCCCAAUGAGGAGCAGAAUGCUAGGGCCGAUGCUGGAGUGGAGAAUGAAGAUGAGAUGGGAGGUGAGGAAAUUUCAGGCAAUAGUGAAGUGACUGGAAACCAGGUCGAAUGCUUACACCGAGGAUGUUAAUUCAACACCUAGAAAUAACUCAAAACAACAUCAAUAACGAAAAAAAAAAAAA